GUGAUUGUAGGAUAGAGGCCUACCAUGGUGGUAACGGGUAACGGGGUGUUAGGGCACGACACCGGAGAGGGAGCCUGAGAAACGGCUACCACAUCCAAGGAUGGCAGCAGGCGCGCAAAUUACCCAAUCCCGACACGGGGAGGUAGUGACAAUAAAUAACAAUACGGGGUUCUUUAGGAUCUCGUAAUUGGAAUGAGUACAAUUUAAAUCUCUUAACGAGGAACAAUUGGAGGGCAAGUCUGGUGCCAGCAGCCGCGGUAAUUCCAGCUCCAAUAGCGUAUAUUAAAGUUGUUGCAGUUAAAAAGCUCGUAGUUGAAUUUCGGGGUUAGUAGAUUGGUCAUGCCUCUGGUAUGUACUGGUCUUACUGAUUCCUCCUUCCUGAUGAGCCGUAAUGCCAUUAAUUUGGUGUUGCGGGGAAUUUGGACUGUUACUUUGAAAAAAUUAGAGUGUUUAAAGCAAGCUAACGCUUGAAUACAUUAGCAUGGAAUAAUGAAAUAGGACGUUCGAUCCUAUUUUGUUGGUUUCUAGGAUUGACGUAAUGAUUAAUAGGGAUAGUUGGGGGCAUUAGUAUUCAAUUGUCAGAGGUGAAAUUCUUGGAUUUAUUGAAGACUAACUACUGCGAAAGCAUUUGCCAAGGAUGUUUUCAUUAAUCAAGAACGAAAGUUAGGGGAUCGAAGACGAUCAGAUACCGUCGUAGUCUUAACCAUAAACUAUGCCGACUAGGGAUCGGAUGAUGUUAAUUUUUUAAUGACUCAUUCGGCGCCUUACAGGAAACCAAAGUGUUUGGGUUC
rnacentral:rRNA from 1 species